UAGAUAAGAAAGCAAGCCGUGA
rnacentral:misc_RNA from 1 species